GGAUCAAUUUGUUGGUCGUGCCUCGGUACGUACUGGCAUUAUUGGUUUCUACCUUCUGAAGAACCUUGAUGUCAUUAAUUUGGUGUCUUGGGGAAUCAGGACUGUUACUUUGAAAAAAUUAGAGUGUUUAAAGCAGGCUCACGCUUGAAUACAUUAGCAUGGAAUAAUGAAAUAGGACGUUUGAUUCUAUUUUGUUGGUUUCUAGGAUCGACGUA
rnacentral:rRNA from 1 species